rnacentral:lncRNA from 1 species
UGAGUACUAUAAUUUGGCGGCCUAUUCCCUGCCAGUGCUACACAGGUGUUAUAUGUGCUUCUACAGGACAAGUGCUUUUCACAAGACAAAUGCGAUAGACUGGUAUCUAGUCCAUACCCUUUUGUUUUUCAUUUGAAGUUAGUUAACAUUUUGCAUUACUGUAAUUUGGUAUCAACCACCCUGUGCGUGUGUCAAGCAAUGCAGCAGCUUGAUUGUACUUAAAUACAUUCUUGAGAUCAGCUGUUCUUCAUUGUACCUCUGUAGCUAUUGUUGUAUCUAGAUGUUUACUUUCUGUCUGGUAAAAGAAGUUGAGUGUGAUUCAGUUUGUUGAUUCAUAUGAUGCUAAUUGUUGCUCUGAGUUCUGACUUAUUCUGCAUUACUCGUAUGCAUGUCCUGUUGCUUUUGUUCUGUAGGAUCCUUUUGUUGUAUAACGGGGAAACAAAUUGAAGUCUACAAUGCACUUGAGUAGGUGAACACAGAAAUUACUGGCUGGUACCUAGAGCAGCACAGUACGUCGCAAAUAUUGUUUGUAUUUCACAUGAUUCUGACCUACUUGCAUGUUUCAUGUGCAUUAUAAUUGUGUUGCGUAUGCUUUGAUAGUACUGUGAAGGUUUAACAUAUAAGCAUCACCUUGGUCCUUGAAAUUUUGUCCCUAGAGUCAGUACACCUGUCUAGUUAGAGUAAACUGCCACUUUUGGUAGUUUGUCUGGUUUGGGAUUUUCAGUUAGGAUUAUUGAGCACACAUCAGCAAAGACAGUAAGUUGCCCCUUGAAAUGUCUAAUUUGACUAUGUCUAGUUGAUUUUGGUAUUUCAAUUAUUGAAUAAGGUUAUAUGUCUAUGAAUUUUAUCUACAGUUUGCCCUUGUCAAAGUACUGAACGGUUGUGUUGAAAGGUGCACUGGGCUAUGGCCAAUCUGGACUUUGAUCCUUGAAAUUUUGUCCCUAGAAUCAGUACACUGUCUAAUUAUAGUACAUCCCCACUUUUGCAGUUUGUCUGGUUUGGGAUUUUCAGUUAGGACUGUUGAGCACAUAUCAGCAAACGCAAUAACUUGCCCCUUGGAAUGUCUAAUUUGAUUAUGUUUAGUUGAUUUUGGCAUUUCAAUUCUUGAAUAAGGUUAUAUAUGUCUAUGAAUUUUAUCUACAGUUUGCGCUUGGCAAAGUACCGAACUGCUGUGUUGAAAGGUGCGCUGGGCUAUGGCCAAUCUGGACUUUGAUAUUUUGUCACAUCUCAUUGCAGCAUUGAUUUUUCAUAGUUGGGGUAGUAUUUUUAUUUUAGAGCAUCUUUGCUGGAUGUUUUCAGAAUCGUAUUAAACAGUUGUAUUAUUUAUAGUGGUACUCCAGAUAGUUUCUCUUGUCUUAACUCAAUCAUCUUCUUGUAUUACAUUGUCUUCGGUUUUUCUUCAUAGUUCGCUGCAUCUUCAGAUAUACACUGUUUUGCUAUGUCUAAAAAUGUUCCUAAUUUGAUCUUAGAAAAUGAGCACAUACUUUGAAAUUUUGAUCUGGUGGACAUGAUUUACGGCAUCUAGAAUGAUGCCAGCUUUGUUCUGUAAGUAGAAGACCAAAAUGUCUCACACAUCUGGCAUCAUAAAUUUCAUUUUGCUCUGUAUAUACCCCUCUCCUUUUAUUGAAAUCAAACUUGGUAUCUAUGAGACUUGGCAUCUAUCAUGAUUCAAUCAGUGACACUGGAUUCUACAAGGGCAGCUGAUUCCAUUUCUUGGUCCUUUUAGGAUUUAAUGGACCUUGGCCUAGUUAAGUAUAUAGGCUUGGGCUUGUGGUUGAAUGCUGUCAUUGUCCUAGCCCAUGCUUUGCUUCUGGAAUUCUAGUUUCAGAUCUUUCAUUAGUCUGUCCCUGAAGCAUGAUAGAGAAGAUGCACUCUAUAGCAGCACUUCCUUACAUGCAACAAUCAUAAGAAUUUCAUUCAUUGACAUAUAUUCCACUCUUUUGCAUCUAUUCAGGCUGAACCUGUCUACAAGCAUGGAAGUCCUCUUUCUGUAACCAGGAAGUUACUUGCUUUGCUGGGUAUGACUGAAAAAUACAUAUAUCUUGGUAUGACUAAAAGAUACAUGUACAGCUUUGACUUUGAUAAAAUAUGUUUGUGGGGUGUCUAAAAGAUCUUAACAUUGCUUUGGAUCUACAAUAGAAGAUAUAGAAACAAGUGAAGUUGAUUUAGGUUACUGCUAAACAGGAAGUCAAAGAUGCAUCGGCCUUUUGUUUUUCAUUUGAAGCUAGUUACAUUUUUCCUUACCGUAAUUUUUUAUCAACGAUCCUGUGUGUGUUCUUGUGUCAAACAAUGCAGCAGCUUGAUUGUACCUAAAUACAUUCUUGAGAUUAGCCGUUAAGUCAUUGUACCUCUGUAGCUAUUGUUGUAUCUAGAUGUUUACUUUCUGUCUGGUAAAAGAAGCUGACUGUGAUUCAGAUUGUGUUGAUUCAUAUGGUGCUAAUUGUAGCUCUGAUUUCUGACUUAUUAUACAUUACCUGGUGCUCUUGUUUUGUAGGAUACUUUUGUCGUAUAGAGGGGAAACAAAUUUAAGUCUAUAACACACAUUAAUAAAGUUCAACACGGAAACUAUUGACCGGUUCCUAGAGCAGCAUAAUAAGUUGCAAUUUUUUGUAUUUCACAUGAUCCUGACCUAGUUGCAUGUUUUAUGUAUGCAUUAUCAUUGUGUUGCAUAUGCUUUGAUGUUAUUGCGAAGGUUUAACAUAUACGCGUCACCUUGAUCCUCGAAAUUUUAUCUCUUGAUUCAGUACACUGUCUAGUUAAGAGUACGUCCCCACUUGUGGCAGUUUGGGAUUUUUAGUUAGGACUUGAUGAGCACACAUCAGCAAAAAGAAUAAGUUGCCCCUUGAAAUGUGUAAUUUGACCAUGUCUAGUAGAUUUUGACAUUUCAAUUUUUGAAUAAGAUCACAUGCUCUGUAAAUAUUAUCUACAGUUUGCCCUUGUCAAAGGGCUGAACUGUUGCGUUGAAGACUGCAUUGGCCAAUCUGGAGUUUGAUCGCUGAUUUUUCUCUCUUUGUGGGUUAUUAUAAACACGCAAGUGGCACAUUGCAUGAAACAUUUCAGUUGGACUGGAUACUUUUAUUGGCCCCCAGAGGACUUAUAUGCCUCUAGGGAGAUUGAAUUGCAGUCACAUCUUGUCGCAUUAGUAUAAACAUGGAAGAAAAGUAAAUUGGUUCCCUGCUAGACUAGGAAAACUGUAAGCC